AUUGAACGCUGGCGGCAUGCUUUACACAUGCAAGUCGAACGGUAACAGGCCUUCGGGUGCUGACGAGUGGCGAACGGGUGAGUAAUGCAUCGGAACGUACCCAGAGGUGGGGGAUAACGCAGCGAAAGCUGUGCUAAUACCGCAUGUGAUCUGAGGAUGAAAGCGGGGGACCGAGCAGCAAUGUUUGGCCUCGCGCCUUUGGAGCGGCCGAUGUCGGAUUAGCUAGUUGGUGGGGUAAAGGCCUACCAAGGCGACGAUCCGUAGCUGGUCUGAGAGGACAACCAGCCACACUGGGACUGAGACACGGCCCAGACUCCUACGGGAGGCAGCAGUGGGGAAUUUUGGACAAUGGGCGCAAUCCUGAUCCAGCAAUGCCGCGUGCGGGAAGAAGGCCUUCGGGUUGUAAACCGCUUUUGGCAGGAACGAAACGGUGUCCGCUAAUACCGGGCGCUAAUGACGGUACCUGCAGAAUAAGCACCGGCUAACUACGUG
rnacentral:rRNA from 1 species